GGACGACUCGCUGGGUGUGGUGCCUGCGUCGAGCUGAACUGCAAAAGGCCGCCAUCUUGAGGAGACCAAAUCCGCAGCAAAGGUUUGAUCAGCCACAAUAGGCUUGUGUUCCCAGAGGCUUGUAAUCCGUUCGUAACGACGACGGAUUCAGGUAUUUAUCCUACCCCUUUGGACGAGCGUGCUCGCCUUCUAUACUUGAAACCUCCAUCGCACUGGACGGGCGUCGUGCCAUGAAACUAGGUAUGGCAGACGAAAGGGGCGAUUUUCUAUGCAUCAGGUGGAUUACUGAUGGUUUCGCGGCGGAUGUCCCUGUGGAAAUCACUCAGAAAUUCUCACCGCGGACCAAAAACGAUGCGUACCACCCCGGGAUAUCAUAGUCAGAAGGAACUGCGUAGAAGCGUCGAUGACGUCAUACCCUGAACUGCGUCAUAGAGUCUCCAUCUCGCCUCGUGGCAAGUUUCCGCAAGCACGCCAACGUAAUUGAUCGGCAUCAUGCGACAUCAGCUGCAUUGUCAUCGAAUUCGACAGGCGUUUCAGACAUGAAUGUUUAGAAUCGGGAUCUAACAUAUGGAAACCAAAGUGAGUGGCGUUCUGUCCGAGAAAUCUACCAACUGCUCCAGAGAACUAUUGCUUGUCUAUUGGAAGAGGAUCCGACUACGGCAGGGAGACGUUCCGCGACCGCCGCUCCCCUAGAUAGAACAACGGAAUUUUGUUGCCUACCCUAGAAAGCUGGCCUAGUUUCGUCGACGAUCGUGACGUAGUCGAAGACUCGUCCCAGGAAGAGACGCCACGACGAGCUGUCGAGCAUCGAAUGUGCCAUAUGUGUUGUCGGACACAGGAAAAGAAAUCAAGCCCAUGUUGCAACCCGUGCUCAUUGUCUCGGAUGGAACUGCGUACUGCGUAAAAGCUGCUCGCGUCCCAGGGCUCUGCCAACGUUCGCAUUGAAAUCGACGCCGCCAUUUUGUCAGGUCAAGCUGCCUCCUCAUCCGAUAUUUCCCGAUGAAUGUCCCUUAGGUACGGACAACGCGCUCGCUUUAACACUCUAGGUCAACCUACGCAUCGCGAGAAAUUCAAAUGGACCGAUGGAGCUAUUUGGAAGCUUGAGCGAGAAACUUCAUAAUUGAAAUCUGACUAGGCCGCGUUCAAUCAGCCCGAGAUGAGCAAGGUGAUUCGUUUCCAUUCAGAAGUGCGUGUAAGAUGCAUACAUGUGCAACGCGGGGUUGUUCACUACAGGAGAGACCCUGAAGUCGGGUUGCAUAGGCAAGGAUCACAGUAGGUGGUGUCGUUUUGAGUUGAUUCCAACAACAUCGUCCAACAAUUCCGCUCCAUCCGUAAGAAGAUUUGGGUCAAAUCCCUUCGUCGACUGAAGAAGCACGCACAAGGCUCUUGGGAAGUCAUCCAUCCUUUCAUCCAUACGUCCAUCCAUCCAUGUGGAUUCGCGGAUUCUUUUGAGGAAAAUUGAAGUGUCUCGCGGCGACUAGGACAGAGAUUGCGUAACCCACCGUGUACCGAGCCCAAUUCCGUUCAACGUGGACUCAGGUAAAAUGAAGCAGUUCGAGCCUCAUUCCGCUUAGCUAGCGAGAAAGCCCAUUCUUUUCUGCAGAGCGUUGCUCGUACCGACUGCUCAAUGCGCGUCCGUCCUCGGCCUGGUCCCCGGCAUCUGUUUCCGUCUGCCAAGGCCGUCCGCCAUCGUGGCUACAGACUUGAGCUGAAGGCCAGCCGUUCAAGGCAUCAGAAAAUGAGGUCCCGAGGCGAAAGAGUAAUGUUGAAAAAUCAGAAAAUCUCGCUGAAGACAGCAAUGUCCCAUUUACCUUCAAUGCAAUGAAACUUGAAAUCCGUUGGGAAAUCAAUCAAGAAUGAAGCCGACACAUCACCGCGGAAGCGGGCUUUCGAAAACAUGUUUUGCACUGCUGCAGCGUCUCUGUCGAAACAUCUGGAAGCCAUUUCACGGCAUGAUUCAUCCCUACGUGCGCGAUCAAAGUUGAGGAAUCAUUAAGCAAGCUUGAAACUCCACGACGGAUCUGAUCAGUCAUCUGCGUCGCCGUUAUCAUCGAGAUCACGUGGUUCUGGGAAGUGAACUUUGACAUCCAAUUCGAUAUAGUGUCUUGGGCGAUAGAUCGAGGUCGCCUCCGGAGAACUCAUUUCAAGUACAACGGUCGGGCUCAUCUGACGCGCUAGGGCUCUUAGACUCGCUACGAGCGGAUUUUCAUCAGAUUCGUUGCGCCACCCGGUCCUAGGGAAUCUCAAUCCAGACGGACCCACUUAGCUUGGAAAGCUCAACCGAGGCCUCAGACGCUGGGUGCGAAGACACCUCAGUUCCCUGCAACUGUACGAAGUAAUUCCGGAGAAUUCUGUCGCGGUCAUGAGGAUGUCAGCUACCAUCGAACAUGUCUGGCCACGUGAUUUGGAUCGUGAAUCCUUAGCACUGUAAAUUCCAUACUUCUGUCAUCAUGAGACAUAUGUAUCUACUUAUACUAUCGGAACCACUCGUCACCAGUCCUGUUCAUGAAAUCCCCUGCGGAGUCGCCCCUGUAUUGGAGCUUGGAGUAAAGCUGUCCUUCGCUGCUUGUUUUCCUUCGGAAGAUCUGACCUCGGGGUCCCAAUGAGGAGAUUUGAUCCUCGGGCCAGGAAUGGAAUUGCGGACAUCAGGUUGGCUUUUGAGCUGGGAGGGCGGGCAGUUUGGGUUCUUAUCUCCCCGCACAGGUCGUCUGCGAACUACGAUUUGUCCCCUGGGCAAAUGCGCUACACCUGCUCCCUGGAAAUCCCCAGCGUCGGAGCUGUGAGAAGCCCUUCCGUGAGAGCCUCUUCGCUACGAAGUCCCUCUCCUAUCGCUGCGUGGCCGUUUCGUCAUGAAUCGAGAAGUCUGAGCACACGGAAUAGAAGAUCGUGCUGUAGUCCGAUUUUGGCAUUUUUGCCUUCCUCCCCGCAUCGCACAUCCUCAAUCCUCGAACCUUCUCAUUCGGGAACUUCAUCGCUCGGAAAGUUCGUUCUGCAGGAAUUCCGUUCACAAAUCCGCUGCGACGAUUCGUCAGGAUCCUUCGAUUCCCAUAGACACCAAAGAACAAGAAUGAUCGCAGGCUUUCCGGGCCGAAUCAGAAAGAACUUUGAACCCCUUCAGGGACGCGUACCAAUUCUGCUCACUCAAAUCCGCGAUGUUGCCUGCGCGGGCAAAAGCCAUUUACGGCCCACGAUCAGGAACGGAUUGCCAUCUGCUCGGAGGCACGAUGUCGCCUGUCCAGGCGAAAGCCUGUCGUUUAUUCCAUCGUCGGUCUAUCUCCGGAUGAUGAAGAUGAUGCUGUGAAGAUUCCCGGAGCGCGGCAAUAUUCCAGGGAAAGUUGUGAAACAGAUCCAAGAAAACCGAGUUGUCUUCCACCAAUCCGUCGGCAACUAAUGCAACGUCUAUACCAGGCGAGAUAUAUGUGAUGCGAAUUGAUCCAGGGAACCUUCAUCGGAGCCGCGAAGCCUCUCGAUACACGGUCGAAGUUUUGAUAAUUCAUCAGGUCGCUGGAAAUCCUUGGAACACUCGGCACUGGUUUGAUCGCAGAUUCUGCGGAAGGAACCCAUCGUGGCUUUGGACGUAGAUGCGUUCAGAAACGAGUAAUUGAAUCCGAAGGGAAUUCUCCCACGAAAGCGACAUUGAGUAAGCUAGGACGACUCGAUCUUCCCACAGUCGGAACUGCUCAUUGACCAAAUGAGAUUCGACGGUCUUCGCCUCUGGUCAUGUCGCCUGCUACAAGCGAGAUUCGAGAUUCCGUUCGACCGACCAUCAGCCACCCUGCAAUGCUGCUGCAUAUCGGCGUAGGUCCAACGAGAACAAGUACUUGGCACGUCGUGCCCUAGGAACCGUAUCCAGCUAGGCCAAGGACAACGCCCACUUAGAUGGCGGCGACUCGGCUCAUCCUUACCUCGAUGGUCGGAUUCGAGAACCCGAGAAAUAUUUUCAACGUGCUAGCGAAGUCCAUUUAUUACGUCCGCGAUAUUUCAUCUCCAUCUCAUCUCCAUCGACGAUCCUUUGAAAGGAGUGAAUCCCCCCUAGAACUACACGGUCUCCCUCUCCUGGACACGCCUAGCUUUCGAAGAUAAUUUCCCCCAAUCCUCCAUGAGUCCCCCUACAUCGUUUGAUGCUCAUUACGUGCUUCUGUCGGGUGCCGUCGUCGCGGGCGAAAUAGCAAGCAGAAAGAUACACUCACGUCGAAAGGAAGCGCUAAUGAAAGCGUUCCGAUGCGCGGCUUGCGCACCUCAUCUGCGAGCGAUCGACGUUCUCACCUCUUUGCCGCGCGCUUUCCGAUUCGGAGUGACAAUCAAACCUCAGCGGGAUCACUGAAGUCGCCAGCAACGGCAGCAGUUAUACCGUUUAGUAUCUUUUAAUUUUCUAACGAGUUCUUAAAUACCUAUGUAUGAGAGUAUGUAGUAUAUAUGAAUGUUUAAAGCGAGCAACUGGAUAUACGGAGUCUACUGGUGGAGCCCGUUAUCCAUAGGUCUCUCCAUGACGCCUACGAGACAGAGCGGAACCGGAGACGACAAUAUUAUGCUGUGCACGUUGACAGUCAGCUUCGCAAUGAAGAUGGAGACAUCGCGUAUCGUUUGCCCAUUUCGGAAUAGGACGCGCACUUAAUUGCACCAUCGGGAAUCAAUAUCUAUGCAGGCGCGACCGCCGCGCCGUUCCCACACCUUAAUUUCCACAACCUGAUUUCCACAACCUAAUCUACCGCGAUCACACGCUUUGGACGGAAGCCUAACCCGGGAGGCUAUUCACCCUCGGAAAUAUAUUCGUAGAGCUGUCUUGCUGCUCGACAGUCGGUAUGGACGAACAACAACGAUUCCACUAUAUCGUUCUGGUCUUUCUGUGAUUAGUUCAAGCAGUCAGAUGAUUUGUUUCUGUGAGAUAUUCGCCUCAACGAAGAUCGGUCGAUCGGAUCGGGGGUCCAGAAACCGAACUUAUCGGUUCCCCUUCAAUUUUUUUCCGUCACCAGUGAGACGAAUCGGUGAUUCUGCAAUCGGGAAUGAAGCCGGCGAGCUUCUACUGGACUCGUCGAUCGAGAGACUGCAGCAAGUCUACGUAUAGCUGGACAUCAGCAGCGGGAGGACUUCAAUUUCGGUUGGAAUCUGUCGAGCCAAGCAUUCGCACAACUCGAAACUACUCCUUGGGUGCCAAUGUCACGGCACUACCGGCGUCGUUGAUAGCGAGGCGCCUGGAAGGCUAACUCCAGCCACAAAUCGCAAUCAUGGCUGAGUCCGGAGCGUAGACACGGUGUUCACCGACAGUAGGCUAACUUGGGAAUCCAGCCAACGAGAAAAUAGGCGACAGUCCGCUUGGCUUUCGCUUGCCCGGGAAUAUUUCCCUGUACGGAGCCGUCUUUUGAACCGGGUCAUCAGUAGAAGGCCGGCCGAUUGAGUAUUCCUCCGUCGUGGAAGUCCUCCCAACCUACCGCUUGAGAAUUCUACUCCGGUCGGUCAAUCAGCACCUCUUCUUGGAGCCAGAGUCCACCGACAUGCUGUCGGAUCCUUGAUGGAAUCGAUCGACCCAAGGAGGAUACGACUCUAUAGCAAGCUAUGCUGUUCUGCUUCUGAAAAGUUCGCUCAUCUGGAGCUUUGAACCUCUUCUCAUAAUGUACAUAUGACGAUUGAAAGCACUCAUGGCGAAAACCUCCCUGAGCGUACAUUCAAAAGUACUUGAAUCAAUCAUCGAAGGGUCGAUCUAAAACAAUAAAUUCGGAAGGAUUCGGUAA
rnacentral:lncRNA from 1 species